UACGUAGGGUGCAAGCGUUAAUCGGAAUUACUGGGCGUAAAGCGUGCGCAGGCGGUUUUGUAAGUUUGUCGUGAAAUCCCCGGGCUCGACCUGGGAAUUGCGAUGAAGACUGCAAGGCUAGAAUCUGGCAGAGGGGGGUAGAAUUCCACGUGUAGCAGUGAAAUGCGUAGAGAUGUGGAGGAACACCGAUGGCGAAGGCAGCCCCCUGGGUCAAGAUUGACGCUCAUGCACGAAAGCGUGGGGAGCAAACAGG
rnacentral:rRNA from 1 species